UGGGGUAUAGCUCAGGGGUAGAGUGCAUGCCUAGCAUGCAUGAGGUCCUGGGUUCAAUCCUCAGUACCUCUA
rnacentral:tRNA from 1 species